CCCGGGCUGGAGCGGUCCGGGUCACGUGACCAGCCGUCCGUGGUGCGACGUCGACGUGGAGGAGGCGGGGGAAGAGUUUAGUCCCGGUUCUGUGCAUCCAGCUGGGGGUGAAGCCUUUAUUCAUUCUGGCGUUUAGCCGGAGAUGACCUAAUUGGACGUUGUCCGCGCCGGCCUCUGAGUCGUUUCACCAAUCUCAUUGACGUCCUCACGUUGGCACGAUCCUGACAUGUCACAGAGAAUAAGCCCGGUUCAAGUAGUGGCAGGCCAGUGGGGGACGGUAUCCUGCGAGUCUCGGAGUUUGAAGAGAUUAAUUUCUCUCCUGGAAAUCAGCCCUGUCAAGGCUGGCUUUCGGUGCUCCUCCUGUAAAUUCUCAUAGUACUGUGCACGCCUCAUACAGUACGUGUUACACUGCAUUAUACUCUGUUUUCGACAUCCGUUUGAUUUUUCAUUCAUUCGUUCAUCCAUCCAUUCAAUAUUUGUUGCUCGUCUUUUUUAUGCCAGCCGCGCUAGGCGCUGAGUGUAAAGCAGAGAACAAAAGAGGUGAAAUACUUGUUCCCAUGAAGCUAAAAUUCUAAUGCCUGACACAGAAUGUGACAUUAUGGCUGUAGCUCCAGCAUCCGUGUUAGACAGUGAAGUGACUUGAACCAUGAUGGAGCGUGAAGAUGCGAGGCUGGGUCUCCUUUGCUUCGUGGAGCUGCCAUGUCAAGCAUGGACUAUCACAUCUGGACUUGUUUUACAGGAGAAAAUAAAUCUUUACAUGUUGCAGCUACUGUUAUUUUAGGGUUUUCUGUUAUUGUAGCUGAACCUAAUCCUGACACAAUAUGACCUAAGUAACCAAGAGAAACUUUUCAUGAAGGAAACUUCUUCUGCUCCAUAUGUCUUGUUUAAAUAAAAGCAUGUUUAUUUCUCUGA